CAUUGAGGGGCAUGUAGGAGGUUGAAACUGUAUAUUGUAAUUGUAUGUAUAUACUGUAUAUAUAUAUUAUAUUCAUAUAAUUUAAUGAUCUGUUCUGGGCACAUUUUAUGCUAAGUUAUGGGCUUAUGUUUAAUGAAAAAAGAUAUGUAUUUGGAAAAAUGAUUUGGAAAUAAAAUAAUUCAUUGAUUUCUAAUGCCACCACAUAUUUCUAUUCAAUGCUUUACUCAUGUGCCACAAUAAUGUAAUGUUUUUGAGUUAAAAAUAUCUUCAUUUGGGGGCUUUUCCAAGAAAAUAUUGAUAUGAUUGUUUGCGAUUAAAUCAGCAUGUAUAUUUCUGCCACUCCUUAAAGUCUCUUUAAGGAGUGGCACCCCAUGAAUAAUUCUCUAAAUCCGCCCCUGCUUGACAAUAAAAUGUACUGCACUGGAUUGAGCUGGGGGAGGGGGCAGAGAGGUGGGGUGGAGAUUUGAGUUGCUCUCCUCAACAAAAAUCUAGCAGGCUUUGUUGACAUGAAUUAGAAAAAAGCCAGUGUUUCAUAUGCAUCUCAUUGGACUCCACUGGCAAUGAAUUUGUCUAGUAUUUUUGACCUUUUAGCACAUUAGAAAAAUAGAUACCCUAAACCACAGGCUAUGGGCUUAAAUUGGAAGAAACAAAAUUAUUGAAACUAGGUUAACAUAGAGUUUUAUUACUUAUCUAUUCUUAGAACACGAGAAAUCAUCUUGGACACAUUCUUUCUAACCAACACCAAACGCGCAUCAUACCAUCGGUCCCCGCACCGGAGAGGAGAGGAAGAGAGUGGCUUGUGUAGAGGCGGGUCUUUUCUCCUGGACAAUGCAAUUAUUUCAGCUCCAUUGAUCAGGAAUGCCAGAUUUCACAGGCCGCUGUCCUCCUCCAUGCGUCGACUGCAGAACUUCCAGUGAGCCCUGUCGCCUUUAAACUUUUCCCACCCCGGCGUUCGUUGCCCGCACUACACCACCCCAACACUGCUACUGCAACCUAAGGACCACCUUUUUUCUCAGGAGUGGCUUUUCAAUAAUAAUUAUAAAAUGUAUAAAAUAUAAUAAUUAUUCUUUCCUGCAUUUUGGAAAGUAUUUGUGUCCAUGAAGUAGGAUAACUGUGAAAAAACGUGUCCUGUGCAAGAUGUAGGCUACACAUAGGCCUAUACUUCGCCUACAAAAAGCAACAGUAUUGUAUCCAGCCUGUUUAAAAUCUGGGUGGUCUUCAGUGUAGACAGGAUAGACUAGUCCAUCAUCAGUUGCCAUUUUCUGUUUUUCUGAAAGGACUCCUGCAGGUGAUAAAGUGCUUGUGGAGUUUUUUCUCGUUCCUUUGAAGCACAAUAACACGAUGUCGCACCAGUCAAAGGCGGGUAAUGAGAAAUUUGUGAAUGGAAGAGAGAAUUUGUGUUCAUUGUUAAAAUUAAACUAUACAAUGACGUCCCCUUGGUAUAUGACCAAUCCCGAAUGUGAUGAGAUAAAUUUUCCACCAAUGAGGGAAGGGACAAGAGCAGAAACGGACCAAUGGCAGGCUGGCAUGCAAAUAAGGAAUUUGUCUCGGCAAGAGCUGAAUGUCAACUAGUCAAAGAUGGAGUCCAGAGCUGGGAGGCCGUGAGGUUGCCAAUGGACGAAAUACCGUUUUUCUAACCGAGGAGCCGUUACGCCUCGUGAACCAUUACUGUGGUUGAAACGGACGUAGACCUAUGUGUGGAAGAUAGAUGGUAUCGGCGAGGACGUUUCCCCCCGCUAAAGUGGACAACUUGGCUCCGUUGUUCCUUUUCUGUGUUGAGCUGUACGGACCGGCCCUGCCUCGGCCAAGUAGCCUACCGUUCACCAGAAACUCUGGCUGCGGGAGGAGUGCGCUGCUGUUGCGGGUCGGAGAUGGCUUGGAGUUCGCAGACAGACGUGGAUGUCGGCUGUUUGCGGUCUUGGCGCCUUCUGGGAAACCCUCCAGGAGAAAGCGUGGCUCCCACAGCGGCUCCGCUGCCCAGCUGCUCGCCUGCUCCGCUGCCCAGCUGCCCGCCUACUCCACAGCCUCCUGUCUCUGCUGGAUCGCAGCAGCUCCCUGUCCCAUCACAUCACAGCAGCCAUCAUUACGACACAUAUGCAUCGGCUCUCAUGGAGUCUCUGACUGAUGGCUGCUUCAGGUCACAAAAGGCUCUACGAGAGAGAAGUGCCGUCUUGUUCUCCACUGCACCUGACCCCUUUCCAGAUCCUGCCAGAAGAUAACCAAGGAUGAGGCAGUUGGCCUGUAUCUCGCACGGCAUUCACGGUUUGACACAGGACAUUAAUGUGAAACCAGCACAGAUGUGUUGGUUCCCAGUUUACAGGUUGACAUUACUAUAAAUCAAGGCAAAGUCAGAUCAGUCCCACAAUUCAUAAUCAUAUUAUCCUCGGCCAGAGACAUACUCAGUCACAUUUGCUUAUUUGUGAGAUAUCUCAAAAACCUGGUAAGAGAGAUUUUGAUGAAAUCUGGUGAACAAUUAGGCCACUGGCCAAGGAUUGAGUGACUGUGUUUGGUGGUGGGAUCUUAGUUCUAACCCUCAGUUUACGUUUGUAUUGAAUGUGCCUUAUUGUCUUAACUGCAAUCACUAAAUAUAAGAGUACAUUAAUAGUUUAUUAUUUAUAUAGGACAUGUUUAUUAGUUUUGCUGCUGCAGCAUGCAGGCCUGCAGCAUGCAGUAUCUGUUCAAUAUAUAUAUGAUCUUAACUGUAUAAAAUGUUAUAUAGUAUGACUAUUGGUGAUUGUGAUUGAUUUAAAGCUUCGUAAAUACCCGUUCUUCUGGACACCUCACAUGAGGGUAAGAGCUUCCUAAUGUGCCUAUUCACAAUGCCUUUAGCCCAGCGGACAAACUGUAUGUAAGCUGUAUUGCCAUACUACCUGGGGAUAGAGACACAAUUUCUACAGUUAAACCUGACAAUCUUAUUUAUAACAUUAUCAAACAGUAUGAUAUAAGUAGUGAUGAUGUAAAUAUGGAUACUUGUAAUAGGGAAACAGAAAAUUUGUGGCUGAGGCACAUCAGCACCGUGGUGACAGCACAUGGGACCUGACAGUGGCUGAACUGAAAGCCCUGAAAGUGGAGCACAGGGUGCAAAAAACAUGGAGUUGGACAGCCUUUGGUUGGAAAAAUGGCCUUUUCCGUUUUUCAAGGAAACCAUGGCCAGACAUCACUUCAGGAAGACAAUGAGAUUCCUGUGGUUCGAUUAAAAAAAGAGACCCAACGUGUGCGUCUGCAGUAUGACAAGUUUGCCCUGGUAUCGGCCACUUGGAACAAGUUUGUUCAGAACAGCAUAGCCUGCUGCAAGCCCAGUGCCAACAUAACAAUAGAGGAGCAGCUGUUCCCCACCAAGGCCCGGUGCAGAUUUAUUCAGUACAUCGGAAAUAAGCCUGAUAAAUUUGAAAUAAAAUUUUGGCUGGCUUCUGAAUGGAGCUCGGUUUCUGGGAAAUGAGGAGACACAGAGCAGAGGUCAGCUUGUGGGAGAGAGUGUGGGGCUGAAACUGGGAGAGCCAUUCCUGGGGAAGUGAAGAAAUAUUACUACAGAUCAUUUCUUCAUGUCUCUCAAACUGGCCACCACCUUACAGGCCAAGAAGACAAGCCUUGUUGGCACCAUGACGAAAACUAAGCGUGAGUUGCCCCCCUCCGCAAAAGAGCAAGUGGAGCUGUCCAGCACAAAGGUGCUAAAAUGUGCUGAUGCAAUGCUCACCAUCUACCAGGGAAAGCCAAGAAAGAAUGUGUGCAUUCUGAGCUCUGUGCACACAAGCGUGGGCAUCACCGAUGGGCUGAGGGCAAAGUCAGAGUUGGUGACAUACUACAACAACACCAAGUAUGGUGUGGACGUCCUAGAUCAGAUGGCAAGGGUAUACUCUGUAUUCUACAACAUCCUCGACCUGGCUGGAAUCAGUGCCCACAUCCUCUUCAAGGAUUGCACCAGCAGAAAGAUAUCCCAGAGGGAGUUCGUGGAGGAGAAAAGGGCAGCAUGGCAGUUGCCACAGGGUCCCAGUCAGCAGCAGAAGCAAACACCGUAGCAGACACCAAAACGGAGGCAGUGCGAGGUUCGGAGAAGCUGCAAACAAAAUAAAACCCAUGACACCAAGUGACAUGUAACUUGCAUUUACUGUAAAGCUUAAAUAGCCAAGCACGCUAUUAAUUAGUUAAUAUAAAAUUAGUAGCCUAAUUAUUUUAUGGUUCUAUAGCCUAAACUUCGUUCUUGGCUUUUUUAUUUUUUUAUUUAAGAUCAGCUCGUUUCCAGCUUCUUCAAUUAUUUUCUGUGUUCUAAAUGUGUUAUAGAUGUUAAAACAACAUUUUUCCUAAUCAAAUUCAUAUUGAUAAAUGUAUAAUUAAACUUUUAGUGUUAUUUUGGUCAAAAUGAC